rnacentral:rRNA from 1 species
CUUGCUCUUAUGAAGUUAGCGGCGGACGGGUGAGUAACACGUGGGUAACCUGCCCAUAAGACUGGGAUAACUCCGGGAAACCGGGGCUAAUACCGGAUAACAUUUUGAACCGCAUGGUUCGAAAUUGAAAGGCGGCUUCGGCUGUCACUUAUGGAUGGACCCGCGUCGCAUUAGCUAGUUGGUGAGGUAACGGCUCACCAAGGCAACGAUGCGUAGCCGACCUGAGAGGGUGAUCGGCCACACUGGGACUGAGACACGGCCCAGACUCCUACGGGAGGCAGCAGUAGGGAAUCUUCCGCAAUGGACGAAAGUCUGACGGAGCAACGCCGCGUGAGUGAUGAAGGCUUUCGGGUCGUAAAACUCUGUUGUUAGGGAAGAACAAGUGCUAGUUGAAUAAGCUGGCACCUUGACGGUACCUAACCAGAAAGCCACGGCUAACUACGUGCCAGCAGCCGCGGUAAUACGUAGGUGGCAAGCGUUAUCCGGAAUUAUUGGGCGUAAAGCGCGCGCAGGUGGUUUCUUAAGUCUGAUGUGAAAGCCCACGGCUCAACCGUGGAGGGUCAUUGGAAACUGGGAGACUUGAGUGCAGAAGAGGAGAGUGGAAUUCCAUGUGUAGCGGUGAAAUGCGUAGAGAUAUGGAGGAACACCAGUGGCGAACGCGACUUUCUGGUCUGUAACUGACACUGACGCGCGAAAGCGUGGGGAGCAAACAGGAUUAUAUACCCUGGUAGUCCACGCCGUAAACGAUGAGUGCUAAGUGUUAGAGGGUUUCCGCCCUUUAGUGCUGAAGUUAACGCAUU